rnacentral:rRNA from 1 species
UACGAAGGGGGCUAGCGUUGUUCGGAAUUACUGGGCGUAAAGCGCACGUAGGCGGAUAUUUAAGUCAGGGGUGAAAUCCCGGGGCUCAACCCCGGAACUGCCUUUGAUACUGGGUAUCUCGAGUCCGAGAGAGGUGAGUGGAAUUCCGAGUGUAGAGGUGAAAUUCGUAGAUAUUCGGAGGAACACCAGUGGCGAAGGCGGCUCACUGGCUCGGUACUGACGCUGAGGUGCGAAAGCGUGGGGGAGCAAACAGG